rnacentral:rRNA from 1 species
AUGGGUUGUAAACUUCUUUUCUGCUUCAAGAAACAGUCGUACGUGUACGGCUUUGACGGUAGAGCAGGAAUAAGCAUCGGCUAACUCCGUGCCAGCAGCCGCGGUAAUACGGAGGAUGCAAGCGUUAUCCGGAUUCAUUGGGUAUAAAGCGUGCGCAGGCGGGUGGGUAAGUCAGAGGUGAAAGCCCGCAGCUUAGCUGUGGAAUUGCCUUUGAUACUGCUCACCUUGAGUCCAGCUGAGGUAGGCGGAAUGUAGUAUGUAGCGGUGAAAUGCUUAGAUAUACUACAGAACACCGAUUGCGAAGGCAGCUUACCAAACUGGCACUGACGCUCAGGCACGAAAGCGUGGGGAGCGAACAGGAUUAGAUACCCUGGUAGUCCACGCCGUANACGUUGAUCACUCGUUGUUGGCAAUACACCGUCAGCGACCUAGCUAAUGCGCUAAGUGAUCCACCUGGGGAGUACGAUCGCCAGGUUGAAACUCAAAGGAAUUGACGUGGGCCCCGCACAGCGGAGGAGCAUGUGGAUUAAUUCGAUGAUACGCGAGGAACCUUACCUGGGCUUAAAUGUAGUGUGCAUUCCCGUGAAAACGGGAUUUCCUUCGGGACCCACUACAAGGUGCUGCAUGGUUGUCGUCAGCUCGUGCCGUGAGGUGUCGGGUUAAGUCCCAUAACGAGCGCAACCCCUAUCUUUAGUUGCUAACAGGUCAUGCUGAGGACUCUAAAGAAACUGCCCGCGCAAGCGGUGAGGAAGGUGGGGAUGACGUCAAAUCAGCACGGCCCUUAUGUCCAGGGCUACACACGUGCUACAAUGGCAGGUACAGUGGGCAGCUAUCACGCAAGUGAAUGCUAAUCUCUAAAACCUGUCUCAGUCCGGAUUGGAGUCUGCAACCCGACUCCAUGAAGCUGGAUUCGCUAGUAAUCGCACAUCAGCCAUGGUGCGGUGAAUACGUUCCCGGGCCUUGUACACACCGCCCGUCAAGCCAUGGAAGCUGGGAGUACCUGAA